GAGGACGAUGGAACCGGGUUCCCCGCGGUCUGCAAAACCGUGUGCUGCGCUCGCGCUGCGAGGCAAGGUGGGUUCGACCCCCGCCGUCCUCU
rnacentral:tRNA from 1 species